rnacentral:rRNA from 1 species
AUUGAACGCUGGCGGCAGGCCUAACACAUGCAAGUCGAGCGGAUGAGAAGAGCUUGCUCUUCGAGUUAGCGGCGGACGGGUGAGUAAUGCCUAGGAAUCUGUCUGGUAGUGGGGGACAACGUUUCGAAAGGAACGCUAAUACCGCAUACGUCCUACGGGAGAAAGCAGGGGACCUUCGGGCCUUGCGCUAUCAGAUGAGCCUAGGUCGGAUUAGCUAGUUGGUGAGGUAAUGGCUCACCAAGGCGACGAUCCGUAACUGGUCUGAGAGGAUGAUCAGUCACACUGGAACUGAGACACGGUCCAGACUCCUACGGGAGGCAGCAGUGGGGAAUAUUGGACAAUGGGCGAAAGCCUGAUCCAGCCAUGCCGCGUGUGUGAAGAAGGUCUUCGGAUUGUAAAGCACUUUAAGUUGGGAGGAAGGGCAGUAAGCGAAUACCUUGCUGUUUUGACGUUACCAACAGAAUAAGCACCGGCUAACUCUGUGCCAGCCGCCGCGGUAACAC